rnacentral:rRNA from 1 species
GAUGAACGCUAGCGGCAGGCCUAAUACAUGCAAGUCGAGGGGUAGAUGGGGCUUGCUCCAUUGAGGCCGGCGCACGGGUGCGUAACGCGUAUGCAACCUACCUUGAUCUGGGGGAUAGCCCGGAGAAAUCCGGAUUAACACCGCAUAAAACCACAGCAGGACAUCCUGCAAUGGUCAAACAUUCAUGGGAUCAGGAUGGGCAUGCGUGCCAUUAGCUUGUUGGCGGGGUAACGGCCCACCAAGGCUACGAUGGCUAGGGGAUCUGAGAGGAUGGCCCCCCACACUGGUACUGAGACACGGACCAGACUCCUACGGGAGGCAGCAGUAAGGAAUAUUGGUCAAUGGAGGCAACUCUGAACCAGCCAUGCCGCGUGCAGGAAGACGGCCCUCCGGGUUGUAAACUGCUUUUAUCCGGGAAUAAGCCUAUCUACGUGUAGAUAGCUGAAUGUACCGGAGGAAUAAGGAUCGGCUAACUCCGUGCCAGCCGCCGCAGUAA